rnacentral:rRNA from 1 species
GACGAACGCUGGCGGCGUGCUUAACACAUGCAAGUCGAACGGAAAGGCCUCUUUCGGGGGGUACUCGAGUGGCGAACGGGUGAGUAACACGUGAGUAACCUGCCCUUGACUUUGGGAUAACUUCAGGAAACUGGGGCUAAUACCGGAUAGGAGCUCCUGCUGCAUGGUGGGGGUUGGAAAGUUUCGGCGGUUGGGGAUGGACUCGCGGCUUAUCAGCUUGUUGGUGGGGUAGUGGCUUACCAAGGCUUUGACGGGUAGCCGGCCUGAGAGGGUGACCGGCCACAUUGGGACUGAGAUACGGCCCAGACUCCUACGGGAGGCAGCAGUGGGGAAUAUUGCACAAGGGGUGGAAGCCGGAUGCAGCAACGCCGUGGGCGGGAGGACGGCCUUCGGGUUGUAAACCGCUUUCGCUCAUGACGAAGCUUUGUGUGACGGUAGUGGGUAAAGAAGCACCGGCUAACUACGUG